rnacentral:rRNA from 1 species
UGGCGGCAUGGAUUAGGCAUGCAAGUCGAACGGAGAAGCAGGAGCUUGCUCCUGUGGAUUAGUGGCGAAAGGGUGAGUAACGCGUGAGCAAUCUGCCCCCAAGUCGGGAAUAGCCUCGGGAAACCGGGAUAAUACCGGAUGUGGUCUUCCGUCGCAUGACGGAAAGACUAAAGAUUUAUCGCUUGGAGAUGGGCUCGCGUCCCAUUAGCUAGUUGGUGGGGUAAUGGCCUACCAAGGCACCGAUGGGUAGCUGGUCUGAGAGGAUGAUCAGCCACACUGGGACUGAGACACUGCCCAGACUCCUACGGGAGGCUGCAGUCGAGAAUCUUCCGCAAUGGGCGAAAGCCUGACGGAGCAAUGCCGCGUGCAGGAUGAAGGCCUUAGGGUUGUAAACUGCUGUCACCGGGGACGAAAUUUGACGGUACCCGGAGAGGAAGCACCGGCUAACUACGUGCCAGCAGCCGCGGUAAUACGUAGGGUGCAAGCGUUGUUCGGAUUUAUUGGGCGUAAAGGGUCCGCAGGGGGUUUGCUAAGUCUGAUGUGAAAUCCCGUGGCUCAACCACGGAACUGCAUUGGAAACUGGUGAACUAGAGUACUGGAGAGGUAAGCGGAAUUCUUGGUGUAGCGGUGAAAUGCGUUGAUAUCAAGAAGAACACCGGUGGCGAAGGCGGCUCUCUGGAAUGUUACUGACGCUGAGGCACGAAAGCUGGGGGAGCAAACAGGAUUAGAUACCCUGGUAGUCCCAGCCGUAAACGGUGUCGACUUGGUGUGGGGGGAAUUGACCCCUCCCGUGCCGGAGCUAACGCGUUAAGUCGACCGCCUGGGGAGUACGGCCGCAAGGCUAAAACUCAAAGAAAUUGACGGGGGCCCGCACAAGCGGAGGAGCAUGUGGCUUAAUUCGAUGCAACGCGAAGAACCUUACCCAGACUUGACAUAUAACUGCACGUCCUAUGAAAGUAGGAUUUCUUCGAGAGUGUUAUACAGGUGCUGCAUGGCUGUCGUCAGUUCGUGCCGUGAGGUGUUUGGUUAAGUCCAGCAACGAACGCAACCCUUGUGACUAGUUGCCACCGGAGGUGAUGAGCCUUCGAGCACUCUAGUCAGACUGCCCUUGCAAGAGGGAGGAAGGUGGGGAUGACGUCAAGUCAGUAUGGCCCUUACGUCUGGGGCUGCACACGUGCUACAAUGGCCGGUACAGAAGGUUGCAAUACCGCGAGGUGGAGCUAAUCCCCAAAACCGGCCCCAGUUCGGAUUGGAGUCUGCAACUCGACUCCAUGAAGUCGGAUUCGCUAGUAACGGCGCAUCAGCUACGGCGCCGUGAAUACGUUCCCGGGCCUUGUACACACCGCCCGUCACAUCAUGAAAGCCGUCUGCACCCGAAGUCGUUGAUCUAACCAUUUAUGGAGGAAGGCGCCGAAGGUGUGG